UUUGAGAAGAUAAGCAAAAUAGACAAACUUUAGUCAGAAUCAUCAAGGAAAAAGGAGAGAAGAAGAACCAAAUCAAUAAAAUUAUGAAUGGAAAAAGAGAGGUUACAACAGAAGAUGCAGAAAUAUGAAGGAUUAUAAGAGACCAUUAUGAACAACCAUAUGGCAAUAAAAUUGAUAAACUUGAAGAAAUGGACAGAUUCUUAGAAAAGUUCAAUCUUCCAAGACUGAACCAGGAGAGAAACAGAAAUUAGGAACG